UGACCCCUUCAUGAGGACUUCUAGGGCUGGAUGAAAUAACCUUCAGAUCGCUGCUAUGACAAGUUCAUCUCCAUCUAGACACACAAGAUCAUUGCCUGCACAAUUGUCCACCCUAGAUGAAGAUUGUCCUGGAAGCAUUGGAAACCCUGGACCUUCUCAAGAUCUGGAGGAAUGCAACAUUUAUAUCUAAUUACAGGCAUGAGGAGGACAUAGGUGACAGCAGGUAAGAAAGG